UAAAGAUGGGCAUGCGUGACAUUAGUUAGUUGGUGAGGUAACGGCUCACCAAUGCAACGAUGUCUAGGGGUUCUGAGAGGAUUGUCCCCCACACUGGUACUUGAGACACGGACCAGACUCCUACGGGAGGCAGCAGUGAGGAAUAUUGGUCAAUGGGCGAGAGCCUGAACCAAGCCAUGCCGCGUGCAGGAAGACUUGUUCUAUGAAUUGUAAACUGCUUUUCUACAGGAAGAAAUCAUGCUACGUGUAGUGUGUUGCCGGUACUGUAGGAAUAAGCACCGGCUAACUCCGUGCCAGCAGCCGCGGUAAUACGGAGGGUGCAAGCGUUAUCCGGAUUUAUUGGGUUUAAAGGGUGCGUAGGCGGAAUAGUAAGUCAGUGGUGAAAUCCUGCGGCUCAACCGUAGAACUGCCAUUGAUACUGUUAUUCUUGAAUGUAGUUGAGGUAGGCGGAAUGUGUAAUGUAGCGGUGAAAUGCUUAGAUAUUACACAGAACACCGAUUGCGAAGGCAGCUUGCUAAGCUACGAUUGACGCUGAUGCACGAAAGCGUGGGGAGCGAACAGGAUUAGAUACCCUGGUAGUCCACGCUGUAACCUAUGAUCACUCGUUGUUUGCGAUAUACAGUAAGCGACUGAGCGAAAGCAUUAAGUGAUCCACCUGGGGAGUACGUUGGCAACAAUGAAACUCAAAGGAAUUGACGGGGGCCCGCACAAGCGGAGGAACAUGUGGUUUAAUUCGAUGAUACGCGAGGAACCUUACCUGGGUUUAAAUGUAGGUUGCAUAGAGGGGAAACUCUCUUUUCCUUCGGGACUACCUACAAGGUGCUGCAUGGUUGUCGUCAGCUCGUGCCGUGAGGUGUCGGGUUAAGUCCCAUAACGAGCGCAACCCUUAUCGUUAGUUGCCAUCAGGUCAUGCUGGGGACUCUAACGAGACUGCCGGUGUAAACCGUGAGGAAGGUGGGGAUGACGUCAAAUCAGCACGGCCCUUAUAUCCAGGGCUACACACGUGUUACAAUGGUCGGUACAAAGAGCAGCCACUUGGCGACAAGGCGCUAAUCUCGAAAGCCGAUCACAGUUCGGAUCGGAGUCUGCAACUCGACUUCGUGAAGUUGGAUUCGCUAGUAAUCGCGCAUCAGCCACGGCGCGGUGAUACGUUCCCGGGCCUUGUACACACCGCCCGUCAAGCCAUGGAAGCUGGGGGUGCCUGAAGUCCGUAACCGCAAGGAGCGGCCUA
rnacentral:rRNA from 1 species